GUCGAACGGUAACAGGCCUAGCUUGCUAGGUGCUGACGAGUGGCGGACGGGUGAGUAACGCGUGGGAAUCUACCCAUCUGCGGGGGACAACCAGGAGAAAUUCUGGCUAAUACCGCAUAAGCCCUACGGGGGAAAGCCGGGGAUCUUCGGACCUGGCGCUGAUGGAUGAGCCCGCGUCGGAUUAGCUAGUUGGUGAGGUAAAGGCUCACCAAGGCGACGAUCCGUAGCUGGUCUGAGAGGAUGAUCAGCCACACUGGGACUGAGACACGGCCCAGACUCCUACGGGAGGCAGCAGUGGGGAAUAUUGGACAAUGGGCGCAAGCCUGAUCCAGCAAUGCCGCGUGUGUGAAGAAGGCCUGAGGGUUGUAAAGCACUUUUCUGAGGGAAGAAACGGUGAAGGUUAAUACCCUUCACAAUUGACGGUACUUCAAGAAUAAGCACCGGCUAACUCCGUGCCAGCAGCCGCGGUAAUACGGAGGGUGCGAGCGUUAAUCGGAAUUACUGGGCGUAAAGGGUACGUAGGCGGUUUGUUAAGUUGGAUGUGAAAGCCCCGGGCUCAACCUGGGAACUGCAUUCAAAACUGGCAGACUUGAGUUUGGCAGAGGCCAGUGGAA
rnacentral:rRNA from 1 species